GCCUUAGGAAAUCGUGAGGGUUCAAGUCCCUCUAUCCCCAAAA
rnacentral:tRNA from 2 species